GGUUAUGGCUCAGUGGUAAAGUGUUCACCUAACAUGCAUAAGGCACUGGGUUCGAUCCUCAGCACCA
rnacentral:tRNA from 1 species